rnacentral:lncRNA from 1 species
AGGAGUCCCCAUUAACAGGUUGACUCUGCUGCACAACUUGGGAUCAGAAAGUCUGAGUUCACCCCAGCUCUGCUGCUUGUAAGCCAGGGACAUUGUGUUCUUCCUGACUGUGGACCAGCUGGGCUUCUGCUGUGUGUUCCUGAUGCUUCUGGCAGAUAACCUCAAACAAGUAGGGCAGAGAACUCAAGCAGAAAUACAAGAUGGCACGAGAUAGCCCAGCUUGAGUUUUAAGCAGCUCCAUCCAAAUCAACCAGGUUUGUGAAAGCCUGUGAAAUUCAGCCUUUGCUUAGGACACUCCAGGUCCUUCUCUCUGAGCAACGACAGAUGAAACAGGAUAUUUUUUCAACUUGAAAAUUGUCAAUAUCUCCUUAUUGGACAAGAUAUAUUCCAAAUACCUUAAUCUGGCUCACAAGACCCUAGGUGCUCUGGUCCCUACCUGCCCUCCAGCCUGAUCUUUUACUUCUCUCUAUAUGCUUCAACACGUCUGGGCUAUCUACCAUUCUCAAAUAGAUUGUGCAUUUUCCCAACACUGAGCCCUUAUUUAUGCUGUUUUUCCUAUAGGUAACAUGCUCCCUUCUUGUCUCUCAUCUCCACGUAUCCAAAUCAUACCCAUCCUAAAUGCUCACCUCCUCUGGGUAUCGUUCCCUGAGUCACACAGCGGAAUCACUACCUUAUUUUUCUCUUCUUAAUUUAAUCCUACUGUUUAAAUAUAUUUAUAGUUUUCCUUGAAUACAGUUAUGUCUUCUUUAUAGCUAGCCUGUGAGCUCAUAGAGGGUAGACAAGUUGCUUUGGAGCUCUUAUAACAAAGUAAGUACUUGGCAAGUAUUUGUUAUAUGUGUAUUUUGAGCAAAUAGGUCUGUACAUUCUAGUGCUUGAAGAAUUUCAAGUGGUAUAGCCACUUAAGGCAGGCCACAAAGCACUGUGUUCACUUAGAUCUUAUGUUUGUAAAUAUAUUAUGUUGGC